rnacentral:rRNA from 1 species
UGCAGUCGAACGGAGUUUACAGGCAGAAGUUUUCGGAUGGAAGCUUGUAAACUUAGUGGCGGACGGGUGAGUAACACGUGAGCAACCUGCCUAUCAGAGGGGGAUAACGAUUGGAAACGAUCGCUAAUACCGCAUGACAUAGCGGAACCGCAUGGUUCUGUUAUCAAAGAUUUAUCGCUGAUAGAUGGGCUCGCGUCCGAUUAGAUAGUUGGUGGGGUAACGGCCUACCAAGUCGACGAUCGGUAGCCGGACUGAGAGGUCGAACGGCCACAUUGGGACUGAGACACGGCCCAGACUCCUACGGGAGGCAGCAGUGGGGGAUAUUGCACAAUGGGGGAAACCCUGAUGCAGCGACGCCGCGUGAGGGAAGACGGUCCUCUGGAUUGUAAACCUCUGUCUUCGGGGACGAAACGAGACGGUACCCGAGGAGGAAGCCACGGCUAACUACGUGCCAGCAGCCGCGGUAAUACGUAGGUGGCAAGCGUUGUCCGGAAUUAC